AGCAGAGUGCCCCAGCUCCCGCGGAGGAGGCUGCGGGUUGCGCGCCCGGACAGGGACCCUACAGCUCCAGGUAGAAGCAGGGAGCGCGGGACUCGCCCCCUGGCAGGGUGAGGCAGGGCCGGACCGUUUGCUCUCUGCUGCUCCCCGGGACUCCAGCCGCGCCCGUGAGAAGAGGCAGCACGGGAGCAAAGGCCAAGGAGCAGCGGGAGUUGAACUUGUCAAAUUAAUGUCUGCAGUGAUAUGUAUGAAGCAAAGGGAAGAAGAAUUCUUGCUAACCAUCAGAACUUUUGCAAACAGGAUGCAGGUGACCCCACAUCAUUAGGGUUGAGGCACAUGUGCUCACUUUAAAGCUGCUGGUAUUGUUCCUAAGAAGUUGCACAAGCCCAGGCUUUUAACUGAAGACAAACUUUUCACUGACAUAAAAAACUACAAAUGCUCUGGUAAUGUAAGCUGGAUCACAGUGAAAUCUCUAUAAUUUGAAUUAUGAGUUGAAUUCAAAUUGAAGUAUAAAAUCUAUGGCCAUUGUACUUUGUUAUUUCACUGAGAGUGCUAU
rnacentral:sRNA from 1 species